GCCUACGGGACGCAGCAGUGGGGAAUAUUGGACAAUGGGGGGAACCCUGAUCCAGCGACGCCGCGUGAGUGAAGAAGUAUUUCUGUAUGUAAAGCUCUAUCAGCAGGGAAGAAAGAAAUGACGGUACCUGACUAAGAAGCCCCGGCUAACUACGUGCCAGCAGCCGCGGUAAUACGUAGGGGGCAAGCGUUAUCCGGAUUUACUGGGUGUAAAGGGAGCGUAGACGGCGAUGUAAGUCUGAAGUGAAAGGCGGGGGCCCAACCCCCGGACUGCGUUGGAAGCUGUAUGGCUGGAGGGCAGGGGGG
rnacentral:rRNA from 1 species